rnacentral:misc_RNA from 1 species
GAUGAAGAACGUAGCGAAAUGCGAUAAGUAAUAUGAAUUGCAGAAUUCAGUGAAUCAUCGAAUCUUUGAACGCACAUUGCGCCCGUUAGCAUUCUAGCGGGCAUGCCUGUCCGAGCGUCAUUUCAACCCUCAGGGUCCCCGUUCCGGCGGGGAACCUGGUGUUGGGGAUCGGCCCGCCCCGUGCGGCGCCGUCCCCCAAAUUCAGUGGCGGUCUCGCUGCAGCCUCCCCUGCGUAGUAGUUACAACCUCGCAUCGGAGCUCAGCGCGGCCACGCCGUAAAACCCCCGACUUUCUGAACGUUGACCUCGGAUCAGGUAGGAAUACCCGCUGAACUUAAGCAUAUCAAUAAGCGGAGG